CCUACGGGUGGCUGCAGUGAGGAAUAUUGGUCAAUGGGCGCGAGCCUGAACCAGCCAAGUAGCGUGAAGGAUGACUGCCCUACGGGUUGUAAACUUCGUUUAUAAAGGAAUAAAGUGAGGCACGUGUGCCUUUUUGUAUGUACGUUAUGAAUAAGGAUCGGCUAACGCCGUGCCAGCAGCCGCGGUAAUACGGAGGCUCCGAGCGUUAUCCGGAUUUAUGGGGGUUAAAGGGAGCUUAGAGGGGUUGUUAAGUCAGUUGUGCAAGUUUGCGGCUCCACCGUAAAAUUGCAAUUGAUACUGGCAGUCUUGUGUACAGUUGAGGUCGGCGGACUUC
rnacentral:rRNA from 1 species